CGCACCUUGCGCCAUCUGGUAUUCCGGAUGGCAUGCCUGUCUGAGUGUCGUGUGGACUCGACCGUCUGGUUCUCCGGGCGAUCGGACUUGGGCGUUGCCUCUGGCUCGCCCCAAACGCAUCGGUGUGUGAAGCGCCCGGGCCGGACUCAAGUCCUCUGGCACGUCGUGGACACGCCCACAACCCCGCGGCCGCCGAGAGGCGGUUGCCUUGACCUUGACCUCAGAUCAGGUAGGACUACCCGCUGAACUUAA
rnacentral:misc_RNA from 1 species